GACGAACGCUGGCGGCGUGCUUAAUACAUGCAAGUCGAACGAAGUGGCGAACGGGUGAGUAAUACGUGGGUAACCUGCCCUCCUCUUUGGGAUAAGCCUUGGAAACGGGGUCUAAUACCGAAUACAGGGGGAUGGGCUCGCGGCCUAUCAGCUUGUUGGUGGUGUGAUGGGCUAACAAGGCGGUGACGGGUAGCCGGACUGAGAGGGUGACCGGCCACAUUGAGACUGAGAUGCGGCCCAGACUCCUACGGGAGGGAGCAGUGGGGGAUAUUGCACAAUGGGCGAAAGCCGGAUGCAGCGACGCCGCGUGGGGGAUGAAGGCUUUCGGGUUGUAAACCUCUAUCGCUAUCGAACGGGUAGGUAGAGAAGAAGCGCCGGCUAACUACGUGCCAGCAGCCGCGGUAAUAC
rnacentral:rRNA from 1 species